UUGUAUUUAUUUAACCCUCUCAAGUUUUCUCUCCAGCUUUAACAGCCCAAUGCUACAUAUUUAUCUAAGCAGCUGAGCGUGUAGGGUGCUGGCACUUUACGCAUGUUUGCAACUGCUCCUGCCAUGAACUAAUGUACUAUCCUAUUUUGUUUUUUGUCUUCUGUCUUAUCUAUGUCUUCAUCGGGAACAACUGAAAAUGCCAAUGGAUAUUACUGGCAGGAUGUACUGCUACUUGUGUUACAAUCUCUGUGCACAAUAAUCAAAUGGCAAGUGCUUGCCAUUUGCCAUACUGUUGCCAUUGAUGAAUACUGUGUGUACUACUGUUUUCUGAUCAACAAAAAGCAGCCUGGUAUUUUGGGAGAAACAUUUGAAACAACUUUGAUACUUAGUUAUAACUUGUUUUGAGCAACAAAAUGUUCUUCAGAGACAAGAAGUAUUUACACGGUGUGAGUGAUCACAGCCCACCUUAAGUCAAGUUCUACCACAGCACCUGCAAGGAGGAGAGUGCCAGCUGAAUACACCCAUGAACCCUUAAUCUCCUUUGGUCCAUAGAUCACAUUUCAGCCAUGCAACCCUGUCCAACACCCUCUGUUAAAUAAAAAAAGUGUAUUUUAAGUCUCAAACAUUCCUAUCUUUGUAACAGCUGCUCCCCUCCUUGCUGAUGGCCAUCUUGUUGGCUGACUUUUAACGUCCCUCCCUUUGUUAAACAACAACAAAAUUCACUUUACAAAUGAUUAAAACUUAUCUGGUUGCUUUCCAUGCAUAGACUUACACUAGAGCACAACGGUAUGUUGCUGUGAAUGUGUACACUGACUCAUUCCAUUCCAUUCCAUGCUGUGCCUGCUAACAUAAAGGCAAUGAGGUGUGUUGUGUAAGUGUUGAAUCUGAGGUAAUGAUGAAAUGACUGGAAAUGAACCUGUGGGGAAAUCCCUGGCAUGGUGAUGUGGAUUAAAUUAAUUAAUUAGUAAAAAUGGAACAACCCAGAAAACAUCAAACAAGAACAUUGUGUGUGGGAAACCAAGUUACAAGACACUGCCUUGAGUACUCUGCAUCCUUAUCUUGAUUUGGUAUCUGAAUAUUUCCUUUAAACUUGCUACCCAGAGCACACUUCAAAUCAGUAAUAAUAAUAAUAAAUCAUUCAGGUGUUUAUAUAAGCAAUUCAUUUAAAUAAUAUAUUUUUAAUUCAUUAAUUUAUUAUAAACUUAGAAAAAAGUUUCAGUGGGGUUCUUUAUGGGUUCUUGACUCAGUUUGAAAGAACGCUUUAUGACAAAAAGGUUCUGAGAAAUGUCUUAAAUUAUUGCAUAAUACUUUCAUGUUUAACAGGUUAUUUCAAUUUUUUCUAGUGAUCUAGUUUAUGUGUUGUUUAAUUCAUGAAAUUGGAGUCUUUUAGUCUUUUUAUUUAAAGGGACUAAAUGAGGAUUAAAAAGAUUUAAAGGGU